rnacentral:rRNA from 1 species
UACGGAGGGAGCUAGCGUUGUUCGGAAUUACUGGGCGUAAAGCGCACGUAGGCGGCUUUGUAAGUUAGAGGUGAAAGCCCGGGGCUCAACUCCGGAAUUGCCUUUAAGACUGCAUCGCUAGAAUUGUGGAGAGGUAAGUGGAAUUCCGAGUGUAGAGGUGAAAUUCGUAGAUAUUCGGAGGAACACCAGUGGCGAAGGCGGCUCACUGGCUCGAUACUGACGCUGAGGUGCGAAAGCGUGGGGAGCAAACAGG